rnacentral:rRNA from 1 species
AUGAACGCUAGCUACAGGCUUAACACAUGCAAGUCGAGGGGCAGCAUGGUCUUAGCUUGCUAAGGCCGAUGGCGACCGGCGCACGGGUGAGUAACACGUAUCCAACCUGCCGUCUACUCUUGGACAGCCUUCUGAAAGGAAGAUUAAUACAAGAUGGCAUCAUGAGUCCGCAUGUUCACAUGAUUAAAGGUAUUCCGGUAGACGAUGGGGAUGCGUUCCAUUAGAUAGUAGGCGGGGUAACGGCCCACCUAGUCUUCGAUGGAUAGGGGUUCUGAGAGGAAGGUCCCCCACAUUGGAACUGAGACACGGUCCAAACUCCUACGGGAGGCAGCAGUGAGGAAUAUUGGUCAAUGGGCGAGAGCCUGAACCAGCCAAGUAGCGUUAAGGAUGACUGCCCUAUGGGUUGUAAACUUCUUUUAUAAAGGAAUAAAGUCGGGUAUGGAUACCCGUUUGCAUGUACUUUAUGAAUAAGGAUCGGCUAACUCCGUGCCAGCAGCCGCGGUAAUACGGAGGAUCCGAGCGUUAUCCGGAUUUAUUGGGUUUAAAGGGAGCGUAGAUGGAUGUUUAAGUCAGUUGUGAAAGUUUGCGGCUCAACCGUAAAAUUGCAGUUGAUACUGGAUAUCUUGAGUGCAGUUGAGGCAGGCGGAAUUCGUGGUGUAGCGGUGAAAUGCUUAGAUAUCACGAAGAACUCCGAUUGCGAAGGCAGCCUGCUAAGCUGCAACUGACAUUGAGGCUCGAAAGUGUGGGUAUCAAACAGGAUUAGAUACCCUGGUAGUCCACGCUGUAAACGAUGAAUACUAGGUGUGCGGGGACUGACCCCCUGCGUGCCGCAGCUAACGCAAUAAGUAUUCCACCUGGGGAGUACGAUCGCAAGGUUGAAACUCAAAGGAAUUGACGGGGGCCCGCACAAGCGGAGGAACAUGUGGUUUAAUUCGAUGAUAAGCGAGGAACCUUACCCGGGCUUAAAUUGCAGAUGAAUUACGGUGAAAGCCGUAAGCCGCAAGGCAUCUGUGAAGGUGCUGCAUGGUUGUCGUCAGCUCGUGUCGUGAGAUGUUGGGUUAAGUCCCGCAACGAGCGCAACCCUUAUCUUUAGUAGCCAGCAGUAAGAUGGGCACUCUAGAGAGACUGCCGGGGAUAACCCGGAGGAAGGUGGGGAUGACGUCAAAUCAUCAUGCCCCUUAUGACCUGGGCUACACACGUGCUACAAUGGUUGGUACAACGAGUUGCGAGUCGGUGACGGCGAGCUAAUCUCUUAAAGCCAAUCUCAGUUCGGAUUGUAGGCUGCAACUCGCCUACAUGAAGUCGGAAUCGCUAGUAAUCGCGGAUCAGCACGCCGCGGUGAAUACGUUCCCGGGCCUUGUACACACCGCCCGUCACACCAUGGGAGUCGGAAAUGCCCGAAGUCGGUGACCUAACCGUAAGGAAGGAGCCGCCGAAGGCAGGUCUGAUAACUGGGGUG